rnacentral:lncRNA from 1 species
UUAGGAAGCACACACUGGAGGUUGUGGGAGUUAGAGGCCUGUUGCUAUAUGUUGUAGAAGAUGUCCUGUGAUUAUUUUUUAAGCAUCUGUGUCAUUUUAAUAAAGGAAGGGGAAAAGGCUAAGUAUCUAGAGUGCCUUCCCUUUGGGCAGUGGAGCCUUAGGAGGUAGAUAUUUAGCAAAAAAUCUCCUAAGCUAGAGACUAAUUCCCUCCAACUUUGGUUAAAUUUCUGACCCUUCUGUCAAAACCUCCAAAGUGCAUUGUCAUUGGGAACAUUCAUUCCUUCCUAUGAGAGCUGGGGAUGCACCCCAUAUAGUUGUGUUGUGAGCACAAAAGACCUGUGCAAAAGGUGUCCAGCAUCAUGUAGAACCCUCAUGAACUUCUCAUUCGAAAAGAUACUUUCUCUCUGUGGCCUCUUCUCAGCUUCUGUUAUUAUUUGACUGCAGGCCCUGUCUCCUUUGCAACCUCUCAGACAAGUGAAAACUGCACCGUUGUCUUUGAAUGCCAGGAAACAAAAUGAAAAGUAAUGAGAAGUCUCUGCCAGAGAGGAAUAUACCUUCUGAACUCUCCUGCCCCAAUCCCACAAACCAGAUAUUCUUAGAGCACUAUGUGGGAACUAGAAAACUCUUUUGGAAAAAAACAAAUUUUUCCUCUCUGAAGUGUGUCUUGAUCAUUCUUCACAUGCUUCAUAUGCAGUAUGACUGAAAAACUUUACAUUUUGAGUAAUGAGAGAUUCUAAUUGAGAAUAAUUGCCUAUAGAAUAAAGGCUGAACUUAUCAGGCUGCCAUUUAAGUUUCUGGAAAAUCUGACUCCAUCUCACCUCCUCAAAGCUCCAUAUGUUCAAUGGCAGAGGGCACCUGUACAAAUCCAAGAGUUGGUUUGACCUUCUCUCAAUGAGAGGAGGCUGUUUCUUCUGGGCACCCAGGGAGGGCAGGUAGGGGCAACAUCAAAGGAAGAAACACACAGACAGAAGCUCAGUCCUAGGGGGAAAGGCCCUUGACUUGGAGAACACAGGGGAGCCUAGUCCCGGAAAAGGUGAUUUCUUGUGCAAGGAAGAGCAACUUCACCAAUGCUCAGGCUUGGGAUCCAGCUUCCAUAUUCUUUGGUGACCCUAAGUAUCUUAUUCCUGAAAAAAGGAGUAGCUUAAAUUGCAGAAAUGGGGCUCCCCACCCCACAAAUCACUAAUUAAUACACUGCCAUUCUCCUUACACAUUAGUCUUGUUUGCUGCAUAAAGCUGUGGUUGAGUGUAGUCUCUAGAGCCUGUCUCCUUGAUCUUGGAACCUACCCAUACUAGGUCUGUGUGGUGUGGAAGAAAUGACUUCACUUUUUGUAACUCAGUUUCUGCACCUGU